rnacentral:lncRNA from 1 species
AUGCAGCAGAGAAGGCAGUCACCGAGGCAGCCGAGGGCUGGGAAGGGAGGAAGAGGUGCGGGAGAGGAGGCAGAGGGAGGGAGAGGGAAGGACGACGAGGGGGAGGGGAGACUGGAGCGCAGCGGGAGAACCUCCACCGCACCCGACCGCCCGGAGGGGCAGCCCGCCCGGCCCGCGAGUUUGUCCCCGGCCGCCUCCAGCCGCGGCUCUCGGGGAGGAGGAAGGAAGGGGUUCCCCGUCCAGGAAGCAGCACCAGCGGCGGCCGCCUCCAGCCUCACCCUCCUCAGCCCCGCACCGCCCAUUCCUCAUUCCCCGCGUCGCCGCGUCCCCGCGCCGCCCCCUGCAGAGCCCCCCAGCCCGUGCGCCCGGGCUCCGCGCCCGCGCCCCCUCCCCGCCCCUCCGGGGACCCCUAAUUCAUUCACUCGCCGCCGGCCCCGCCCGGCGCCGGCGGGGAGGGUCGGGACCCGGGCAGGGGCCCAGGAGGGGGGUCCGCUCCGUACCUCGCUCCCGCACCUGGGAGCCGCCGAGCCUCUGGCCCCCGCCGCCGCCCUCAGUGCCUGCGCCGCGCUCGCUCCCAGUCCGAAAUGGCGGGGGCCGGGAGUCCUGGCCGAGCAGCCGCCACCGCCGCCACCGCCACUGCUGCCGCCGCUCUGCCUCCGCCGCCGCGGCCGCCGCCUAGGGAAAUCGAGCUCCGAGCGCACUGAUGAGUUCGGGGCCGGGCGGCCGCAGAGGGCAGAGCUAUGGAUGCGCUCGGUGCUCGAUUCCUCUCCAGACCGGCGUUCGCUCGGGGAGGGAGCGGCGGAGGGCGGUGUGGGAAGAGGGAAGAGAGGGAGCCGGCGAGCGCCGCCCGCGAGGAGGAGGGGGCCGGCCGGCCAGGGGCGGGGGGCGGGGGGCGGGCGGCCGGCGGAGGAGGGGCGGAGGAGGGGCGGCGGCGGGGCCGAGGCCGGCGGCGGGGCAGGGGGUCUGGGCGGCGCCUCGGCGGGGCGGGAGGAGCGGCGGCGGCCCGCCCCCAGUCUCUCGCCGCACAACCGACCCCGCCGCCGCCGAUUCGGCCCCGGGCCGGCGCGCGGUCCGCCGCGCUCACAGCAGAGACACCUGAGCGACGCCGUGGGCGACCCCGCCGCAGCCCUCUCGGGGCUGCACGGAAGAGCUGCGACCAUCCCGCAGCCCCUCAGGGUCGGCCUACCCCUGCGCACCUUCAUUUACUAUCAUUGCGAGUAA